AGGAGAGGCUGAGGGAGCUGGGGGUGUUUGGGGAAAAGGAGGCUGAGGGGAGGCCUUCUCGCUCUCUCCAGCUACCUAAGAGAUUAUAGCAAGAUGGGGGUUGGUCUCUUCUCCCAAGUCACAGGUAAUAGGACAAGAAGAAACGACCGCAAGUUGCGCCAGAAGAGGAGGCUGUAGAAAGUUCUGCUGAUGCCAUCACUGGAAUCACCCAACUUUGCUCUUCUGAUACCAACAAACAUAACAGAGUGAUACCUGAAGCAAUAGACACUGGUGCUACCGAAUGUGCCACGCAGCAGUCAAGCUGUGAAAACAGCGGUUGAGCAACAUUCAGGAAGAUGCUACAUAGCUUCUGACAGAGUUUCUGCUGCUGACUGUAGGAUUUGUUACACAAGGAGGAUGAGCUCCCCAAAGACAGCACCAUUUUCAAGCAGCUCCCAAAAAUGCAUUGACUUCAGAUGAGAAAGACAGCGGAUUUGCAUCCAGGAUCCCAAAUUACGGGUUUAAUAAGAGCCAUUUGAGGUCUCUUCCUGCAAAGGGAAUGUCACCCUCCAGUCCAGGACAGCAGUGUAGCCACACAGGCUGGCUCAACACCCACCCUGGACCUUGACCUUUCUGAAUCACCUCAAAUACAGCUCCAUGCAGUCAUCUACAGUCUGCUUCAGCCUGGAAGUGUCAGCUCUGCUUUGGUGUUGUCCGUGGGCACCCAGAUCUACCUGUUGUUGUUGAGCUCAAAGGCAAUUCUUCUGGCCUUCUUGGAGCAGUCUAUGGAAAGAGGCUUCCUUAUACCAUCAUCUUUAGAAGAUGCAUCAAUUCAUACCAUCCCUAAUCCUUUCAAUCCUGCAAAUUAUGGUUCUUUGAAUUUUCCUUUCAAGUAUUGCAUAGUAUUUAUCAAGAAAAUAGGGGAGGCGUUGCUUUGUUUCUUAAUAUUUUGGUAUUCUAUGAUAAAUUCACAUGUUCAGUCUAUUAGAAUCAUGUAUCUUGGCUUUUUUGGCAUAUUUUGUGAUUUGUUGCAUGCUGAUGUAAUCUACUUAAGUGUAUAAUUCAUUAGUAAUCUCAAAUUACUCUUUGGCUAAACAAGAGGGAAUCAAAUAAAACUAUAAAGACUUUUGAUGUGAUUAAUACUUA